GACGAACGCUGGCGGCGUGCCUAAUACAUGCAAGUAGAACGCUGAAGGAGGAGCUUGCUUCUCUGGAUGAGUUGCGAACGGGUGAGUAACGCGUAGGUAACCUGCCGGGUAGCGGGGGAUAACUAUUGGAAACGAUAGCUAAUACCGCAUAAGAGUAGAUGUUGCAUGACAUUUGCUUAAAAGGUGCAAUUGCAUCACUACCAGAUGGACCUGCGUUGUAUUAGCUAGUUGGUGGGGUAACGGCUUACCAAGGCGACGAUACAUAGCCGACCUGAGAGGGUGAUCGGCCACACUGGGACUGAGACACGGCCCAGACUCCUACGGGAGGCAGCAGUAGGGAAUCUUCGGCAAUGGACGGAAGUCUGACCGAGCAACGCCGCGUGAGUGAAGAAGGUUUUCGGAUCGUAAAGCUCUGUUGUAAGAGAAGAACGAGUGUGAGAGUGGAAAGUUCACACUGUGACGGUAUCUUACCAGAAAGGGACGGCUAACUACGUG
rnacentral:rRNA from 1 species